CAUCCUGACCAAUACAGCAACAUAAGACAUUCAGGCCACUGGCUAGUAGCGACCAGUGAUGGGAUGACAGGAGGAACUGUCAUCCCAUGAUACCAACUCUUAAGAGAACAACUACUGUACUAGAAAUUCAUGUCUGGUGAAAUGGGACCAGGUUCUUAUUCCUGUAUUUCCAAAUGGAACAAGAAGAACUGCCCUGCACAUCCUCCAGAAUCACACCACAAGUGGUCCUUUGAUUCCAGCAGAGGGGUCUAUCCACAGGGCCAGAGCAGGAUAGGACCCUCUGUCUUCCCAGUGAAGCAAGAUCCCCAGAUGAGACUGAAGAGGAGACCAGGCCCAGGAGCUGGGAGGAAAAACAGGAGGACACAGAAUUCAGCUCAUGGCCUGCACAUCCUUGCAUCCAAAGCAUAUGUCUGGUCCCCAGCCUGGGGCUCCACUCACUGAGAGGACUAACACCUUCUGACACUGCCCGGACACAGGGCAGGAGGAUCAAUGCAGAAUCCACAGAGGAGUACUUGGCAAUCAGCAGGCUUUCUGUGCCACAGGAAGAAAGGUCAAGUUCAUUUCUCUACACAAGAACAGGAAAGCUGAUGAGGAACCUGUGCCAGCAAAUGCCCAAGGACAACUCAGCAAGGCUGAGCCAUCUCAUCAGCAAGAGCACCAGCUAUCAUCACAGGGGCAAUGAGACACAGCCUAAUGCCCAAGCUGGGAGACAAUAAAAGUGAAAAGAACUCUAUUGGGUGUGGGCACA